AUGGGUUCGUCGGUGAUUACCUUGCCUUCGCCGGAGUUGGCUGCUCGCCGCUCGCUGGUCAGAGCAGCUGGAGCUGCUGUUUGUUGUUGUCGUCUCACUGGAGCGGAGGAGAAGAGAGAAAGAGGCUCGCCGGUCGGAGCUGGUCCUCGCGCUGCUUCUGGCCGGCGCGGCCUUCGCUUGCUGGCGAGAAAAACAGAUCAGAGGCGGCGCCCGUUUGCCGACUGGUUUUCGCGGCUGCUCGCUGGCCGGCGCCGUUCGCUGCUUCGCCUGAGCAGCUAG